GACGAACGCUGGCGGCGUGCUUAACACAUGCAAGUCGAACGGAAAGGCCUCUUUCGGGGGGUACUCGAGUGGCGAACGGGUGAGUAACACGUGAGUAACCUGCCCUUGACUUUGGGAUAACUUCAGGAAACUGGGGCUAAUACCGGAUAGGAGCUCCUGCUGCAUGGUGGGGGUUGGAAAGUUUCGGCGGUUGGGGAUGGACUCGCGGCGUAUCAGCUUGUUGGUGGGGUAGUGGCUUACCAAGGCUUUGACGGGUAGCCGGCCUGAGAGGGUGACCGGCCACAUUGGGACUGAGAUACGGCCCAGACUCCUACGGGAGGCAGCAGUGGGGAAUAUUGCACAAUGGGUGGAAGCCUGAUGCAGCAACGCCGUGUGCGGGAUGACGGCCUUCGGGUUGUAAACCGCUUUCGCUCAUGACGAAGCUUUGUGUGACGGUAGUGGGUAAAGAAGCACCGGCUAACUACGUG
rnacentral:rRNA from 1 species